rnacentral:miRNA from 1 species
AUCAAAAGUCACUUUACACAUUUCACCCAGGAAUGGUUUUCUUUUGAAGAAGCACAUUCCUGGGUGAAAUGCGUAAAGUGACUUUAGA